rnacentral:sRNA from 1 species
GCUGGGUGUGGUGGUGCGUGCCUGUAAUCCCAGCAACUUGCAGGCUGAGGCAGGAUUACAAAUUUGAGGCCAGUCUGGAAAAUUUAGCAAGACUCUC